rnacentral:lncRNA from 1 species
ACAUCAUGAUAGAGAGCACUUAUAAUCUUUGCACUCAAAUAAGAUAGUAGACUUUGACUUUGAAUUAAUUAUCGGGGUCUCAACAAGCACACUAUCAAGAAUACAUAUCCAGUUCUAUAUGUGGAUGUGAUUGCUCGUUUUACUUAUUCCGGAAGAAACCUCUUAGAAUAAACCCAUAUAGAGAGAUUCAAACAUAGAAAAUGACUAGUUGCUUAAGCGUUCACGUUAGGGUCACAUAAUCAAUUACCUCCUGAAUGUAUCAUCUCUAUUUUCAAUAUCUGAACACACAAGGAAACUAUAAUCUCUUCCUUCACCUUAUUGAUCUCUUCCUUAUAACAAUUCAAUCAUACGAUUAACUACUAUUUCUACCAAUAUAUUCACCCUCAUAAUCUCCAACUGUAAUACUGCGCCAUCAUAGCUUUCAACACACAAUUACCCUU